CUGGUCUGGUCCGGUCCGGUCCGGUCCGGUCUGGUCCGGUCCGGUCCGGUCUGGUCUGGUCCAGUCUGCUGGUAGAGACCAUCGGGAGCAGGGCAGGAGCUGUGGGUCAGAGGAGCAAGUUCUUGAAUGAGACUGUUGAUGUCAACACCUGAAGACAGGACUCCCUGAAAUCUGCCUCGGUCAAGGUUUUAAAUGCCUCAUCAAAGAAAGUUGAAGCUGAAAAAGAAAUGCAGCAGGAGUCCAUGGUGAUCGUUGUCGUCC